GGAAGGCUCGUCCGCUCAGGGUCAGUCGGGACCUAAGUCGAGGCCGACAGGCGUAGACGAUGGACAACAGGUUGAUAUUCCUGUACCACCUCCCCGCCGUUUGAGCAAUGGGGGGACGCAGAAGGAUAAGGCGAGCGCGCCGUUGGUUGAGCGCGUCCAAGCAGCAAGGUGGGAAACGAGGCAAAUCCCGUUUCCGCAACAUUGAACUGUGACGGCAAGGGGCAAUCGCCCCGGAGUCCCUGAUUUCACACUGCCAAGAAAAGCCUCUA
rnacentral:rRNA from 1 species